rnacentral:rRNA from 1 species
GACGAACGCUGGCGGCGUGCUUAACACAUGCAAGUCGAACGGAAAGGCCCUGCUUUUGUGGGGUGCUCGAGUGGCGAACGGGUGAGUAACACGUGAGUAACCUGCCCUUGACUUUGGGAUAACUUCAGGAAACUGGGGCUAAUACCGGGUAGGAGCUCCUGCUGCAUGGUGGUGGUUGGAAAGUUUCGGCGGUUGGGGAUGGUCUCGCUGCUUAUCAGCUUGUUGGGGGGGUUGUGGCUUACCAAGGCUUUGACGGGUAGCCUGCCUGAGAGGGUGACCGGCCACAUUGGGACUGAGAUACGGCGCAGACUCCUACGGGAGGCAGCAGUGGGGAAUAUUGCACAAUGGGCGGAAGCCUGAUGCAGCAACGCCGCGUGCGGGAUGACGGCUUUCGGGUUGUAAACAGAUUUCGACUGUGACGAAGCGUGAGUGACGGUAAUGGGUAAAGAAGCACCGGCUAACUACGUG